CAGGGAGACAACAAAAUGUUUAAUAUUAUUAUUUUGUCACCUUAGGUCGAUCGGUAUCUCACGUUCUUAAUUAUUUAAGAAUUUCAUUUCCUAAGUUUUUCUAGGUCACACCCAUUAUUUUUCCUGGGCCAUUAGCUCAGGUGGUUAGAGCGCACCCCUGAUAAGGGUGAGGUCCCUGGUUCAAGUCCAGGAUGGCCCAUAUCUCUAUGUUGGGGGUAUAGCUCAGUUGGUAGAGCGCCUGCUUUGCAAGCAGGAUGUCAGCGGUUCGAGUCCGCUUACCUCCACUGAUUACCACCUCUUUCAUAACCGGUUGAAAGGAAAUGUUUUGAGUUGUGAUCAAAUUCUGAAAGAAUCUAGCUUCCUAAUGAAAUCAUUAAGAUGCUGGACUCAUUGAAUUAAUUUCAUUGUUUUCAGAGAACCUUGACAACUGCAUAGAUUAUUUUUAAAGACAAUAAGCAUCUUUAAUGAUGCAGAUUUAUUAUUUUUGCUAAUGCAUUAAUAACAAUUCUAUUAAGCUGAUGCUUCAAUUUUUGAAGUUAUUG
rnacentral:tRNA from 1 species